rnacentral:rRNA from 1 species
AAGUGGGCCUGCCCUGUGAAUUUUUUAACGGCUGCAGUAUUUUGACUGUGCUAAGGUAGCAUAAUGAUUUGCCUUUUAAUUGGGGGCUAGAAUGAAUGGUUUAACGAGGAAAACUCUUUUUUUAUUUUUAAAUUAAAUUUUCUUAAAAGGUUAAAAAGCCUUUUUACUUUAGGGGGACGAUAAGACCCUAUAAAACUUUACUUUUAGUAAAUUUUAGAGAGAUUAUGAGGCGUUAUAAAUUUUAUAUAAGAGUUUUGCUGGGGCGGCAAAUUUUUAAAUUUAAAACACAAAUUUUAUUUAAACACUUAUAAAUGAUUUUUUCAAACCUAAUUUAAUAAUUAAGAUUAAGUUACUUUAGGGAUAACAGCACAAGAUUAUUUUAGAGUUCCUAUCGAUAAAAAUGUUUAUGACCUCGAUGUUGAAUUGAAAGUUCUUUAGUGUGCAGUCUUAUUAGAAGUAAAGUCUGUU